GUCUUUUAGAUUAUAAUUGAAAGUCCAAUCUGCUCCAUGAUUUUAUAUUAAAUAGCUGCAGUAUUUUGACUGUACAAAGGUAGCAUAAUCAAUAGUUUUUUAAUUGAAAGCUGGAAUGAAGGAUUAAAUGAGAUAUAAUCUGUCUCAAUUUUAAUUAUAUAAUUUUUUUAUUAUUAAAAAAAAUAAUAUGAAUUUAAAAGACGAGAAGACCCUAUAGAUUUUUAUUUAAAAUAUUAUAAAUUUGAUUUUAAUAUUUUAUUAAUUAUAAUAAAUUAAAUUUGAUUGGGGUGAUUUUAAGAUUUAAAAAACUUUUAUUAUAUAAAACAUAAAUUAAUGAAUUAUUGAUCUUGAAGUUUAGAUUAUAAGAUAGAAAUACCUUAGGGAUAACAGCGUAAUUUUAUUGGAGAGAUCAUAUUGAUAAUAAAGAUUGC
rnacentral:rRNA from 1 species